rnacentral:rRNA from 1 species
AUUGAACGCUGGCGGCAGGCCUAACACAUGCAAGUCGAACGAGUGGCGGACGGGUGAGUAAUGACUGGGAAACUGCCUGAUGGAGGGGGAUAAAUACUGGAAACGGUAGCUAAUACCGCAUACCAUCAGAUGUGCCCAGAUGGGAUUGGCUAGUUGGUGGGGUAACGGCUCACCAAGGCGAAGAUCCCUAGCUGGUCUGGUAGGAUUACCAGCCAAACUGGAACUGAGACACGGUCCAGACUCCUACGGGAGGAAGCAGUGGGGAAUAUUGCACAAUGGGCGCAAGCCUGAUGCAGCCAUGCCGCGUGUGUGAAGAAGGCCUUCGGGUUGUAAAGUACUUUCAGCGGGGAGGCGUUACCCGCAGAAGAAGCACCGGCUAACUCCGUGCCAGCAGCCGCGGUAAUAC